UACGUAGGGGCAAGCGUUGUCCGGAUUUAUUGGGCGUAAAGAGCGUGUAGGCGGCCUGACAGGUCUGCUGUGAAAACUCGAGGCUCAACCCCGAGCGGUCGUGGGAAACUGGUUGGCUAGAGUGCGGGGAGAGGAGAGUGGAAUUCCUGGUGUAGCGGUGAAAUGCGCAGAUAUCAGGAGGAACACCACGGCGAAGGCAGCUCGCUGGGACGGUACUGACGCUGAGGCGCGAAAGCGUGGGGAGCGAACAGG
rnacentral:rRNA from 1 species